rnacentral:rRNA from 1 species
AAACGUAGGAGGCGAGCGUUAUCCGGAUUUACUGGGCGUAAAGCGCGUGUAGGCGGUUCGGUGAGUUGGAUGUGAAAGCUCCCGGCUUAACUGGGAGAGGUCGUUCAAUACUGCCGGACUAGAGGAUGGGAGAGGGAGGUGGAAUUCCGGGUGUAGUGGUGAAAUGCGUAGAUAUCCGGAGGAACACCAGUGGCGAAGGCGGCCUCCUGGCCCAUUUCUGACGCUCAGACGCGAAAGCUAGGGGAGCGAACGGGAUUAGAGACCCCGGUAGUCCUAGCUGUAAACGAUGUGGACUUGGCGUUGGUGGGUUCAAAUCCAUCAGUGCCGAAGCUAACGCGAUAAGUCCACCGCCUGGGGACUACGGCCGCAAGGUUAAA